CCGGCCAUAGCUCAGCUGGAAGAGCAUCAGACUGUAAAACAAAUAGCUAUCUGGGUGUCCCCAGUUCGAUCCUGGGUGGCCGGA